GGUUGAGCACGGACUGUAAAAAUUACUCCGAUUUUUCGUCUUUAAACCCAAAAUAAAAAAACUGUCCAUCGACGAUGUAAACCCGAUUACGUAUUUACGUUACGCGCCCUAGUCGUCCUUAGUCCGUAUAGUCUUUCUCAUUUCUGUUCUGGCGAAUCAAACCAAAUCUGAAUCGAAAUCCUACUCAUCGCCACCAUCAGCACCACCGCCAGCAAAGUCAAUGGCAAAUCCAACAAGCAAGCUGCUGAUCUCGAUGCUGGUAGCUCUCUUCUCGGUGUCAUGUUCGCUUGCUAGCGCAGAUGUUCCCUUCAUAGUAGCCAACAAGAAGGCCACUCUCAACAGGCUCAAAUCUGGCGCCGAACGCGUCUCCGUUUCCAUCGAUAUUUAUAAUCAGGGAACUUCGACUGCUUAUGAUGUGAGUCUAGUUGAUGAUCACUGGCCUCAAAAUCUAUUUGAUGUCAUCAGUGGCAACACUUCACAGUCAUGGGAAAGACUUGAUGCUGGUGGUAUCCUGUCACACUCUUUUGAAUUGGAGGG
rnacentral:misc_RNA from 1 species